rnacentral:rRNA from 1 species
AACGAACGCUGGCGGCAGGCCUAACACAUGCAAGUCGAGCGAGGACUUCGGUCCUAGCGGCGGACGGGUGAGUAACGCGUGGGAACGUGCCCUUUGCUACGGAAUAGCCCCGGGAAACUGGGAGUAAUACCGUAUGUGCCCUUCGGGGGAAAGAUUUAUCGGCAAAGGAUCGGCCCGCGUUGGAUUAGGUAGUUGGUGGGGUAAUGGCCUACCAAGCCGACGAUCCAUAGCUGGUUUGAGAGGAUGAUCAGCCACACUGGGACUGAGACACGGCCCAGACUCCUACGGGAGGCAGCAGUGGGGAAUCUUAGACAAUGGGCGCAAGCCUGAUCUAGCCAUGCCGCGUGAGCGAUGAAGGCCUUAGGGUUGUAAAGCUCUUUCAGUGGGGAAGAUAAUGACGGUACCCACAGAAGAAGCCCCGGCUAACUCCGUGCCAGCCGCCGCAGUAACAC